rnacentral:lncRNA from 1 species
CACAUCCUCAGCUCUAUUUUGUAUUUUAUUUAGGAUCUCACUGCAGAGGCUGGCUUUGAAUUCCCACCCAAGCUGAGGCCUUCCAUUCCUCCCAGUGGGCUCUCCCUCCUCCUGGAUGCAAGAGCAAGCUGGGGAAGGUGACUUCCAUGGGACUGUGCCACCAAGGGAGAUGUAUCUUAGCCACUGGAUGACAGGACUACUCCUUGGUGGGCCAGGACAGAGAGCAGUGGCCUUGGGGGCCAGGCAUGAAGUUAAUCCCCGAGCAGCUGUGUCGAGCCUGAGGGAAAUGUGCGCCAGUGUGCAAAGUGACUGGACUCGGCACAUUCUGAAUAAAGGCAUUCAGAUUUAACUACAGAUGGACAAUAAAAUCUAUGUGAAGGCAGCGAGGACCACAAGGAGGUGACCCCCUGUUCCAGAAGCAUCCAAUAGCAAAAAAUAAAAAUGUAUGUUCAAGCAAAAACCGCCCAAACUCACAACACGUGCGGGCACACACUGCGCAGAGACACUCAUGAACACCACUGCAGCCAAACUCGUGGAACGUCAGGGCUGUGCGUGGCGUGGCAUGGGUUCCCA